UACGUAGCAGCGAGCGUUGUUCGGAAUUACUGGGCGUAAAGAGUGUGUAGGCGGUGCUCUAAGUUCGGUGUGAAAUCUCCUGGCUCAACUGGGAGGGUGCGCCGGAAACUGGAGUGCUUGAGCGUGGGAGAGGAAAGCGGAAUUCCUGGUGUAGCGGUGAAAUGACGUAGAUAUCAGGAGGAACACCUGUGGUGUAGACGGCUUUCUGGACCAUAGCUGACGCUGAGACACGAAAGCGUGGGUAGCAAACAGG
rnacentral:rRNA from 1 species